rnacentral:tRNA from 1 species
GCCUGGGUGGCUCAGUCGGUUGAGCAUCUGACUCUUGAUUUUGGCAUAAGUCACGACCUCAGGGUUGUGGGAUCAAGCCCCACUUUGGGCU